rnacentral:misc_RNA from 1 species
GCGCAAACUACUUAGGCGGAGUUGGUGAUAUUCUUUCAUUCUAAGAAAAAAAUAGUUUACUGAAACUGAAUCUAGGAAUCAAAAUACUGCUGUAUCAAUUGACAAUUAAACCAACAUAAAUAAAAGAAAAACUUAUUAUGCCAAGCAUAAUUUUCUUAACAUAUUCAGAUAGUUAGCAAUUUGUUAUAUUCACAGUAAAGCUGAUUUUCAUGGUUUUCUCAUUUGAAGUAGGCAAAACCCAUUUCCAGACCCUUGAACUUUGUCUAUUGGGCCUCUUUCCUUUGAUCGUGUGCUAUUGAACAUGUGAAAUUUCAGAUUUAAGAACAUUAGUUACUUAUUUAUUG